rnacentral:lncRNA from 1 species
UUUAGAUUUGUGUAUAUAUUCACUUUUUAAAAAUCCUUCAUCCUUUUUUGCAUUUCUUUACAUCUAGAAUAAUUUUCUUUUGUUUUUUAAAAAAAACUUACUCUCAUGUUUAUUUUAGUGUGGUAUGGCUGUUAAUGAAUUUGAUAAAUUUUUGUUUUCCUGUAAAUGUCUUUAUAUUGCAUUCACUUUUUUUUUUUUUUUUUUUUUGAGACAGAGUCUCCCUUUGUUGUCCAGGCUAGAGUGAGUGCCAUGGCGUCAGCCUAGCUCACAGCAACCUCAAACUCCUGGGCUCGAGCGAUCCUUCUGCCUCAGCCUCCCGGGUAGCUGGGACUACAGGCAUGUGCCACCAUGCCCGGCUAAUUUUAUAUAUAUAUAUCAGUUGGCCAAUUAAUUUCUUUCUAUUUAUAGUAGAGACGGGGUCUCGCUCUUGCUCAGGCUGGUUUUGAACUCCUGACCUUGAGCAAUCCGCCUGCCUCGGCCUCCCAAGAGCUAGGAUUACAGGCGUGAGCCACAGCGCCCGGCCUGCAUUCACUUUUGAAAGAUAUUUUUCUCUGGAUAUAGAAUUCUAAGUUAACAUCAUACUUUUUCCCCAAUUAGCAUUUUAGAGGUAUCCUUCCAUUGUUUGUUGGCCUCCAUCUUUUCUUUGUUGACAAGUAAGCUGUCAGUCUUAUAAUUUAUUUGACAGCAAUAUGUUUGGUUAUUUUGCUUUAAGAUCUUGACUUCUCACAAUGUUGCUCACUCAAAUGGUGCAAAGUCCAAUUUUUUUGUCUCCUCAAUGUUCUAACAUUGCUAAAAGGUCUACUUUGUUGUUGCUUUCAGCUUGGCUUUCUGCUUAUUUUUGUCCAGCUUGUCCCUUCAUCCCAUGCCUCAUGUAUCAUGCUGGAAGAAGGAAGCCACAUUCCAGUCUUGAACCCUGACGCUCAUGGGGAAGACAUUAGGGAUGUUAACAUCAGUUUCACCACUGGAGCUCUGGGGCCAUCAGUCACUAGUACCCAUUGAAGCACAACACCUGC